rnacentral:rRNA from 1 species
GAAGUUUUGCUCUUUAAAAAUCUGGAUCAAGCUGAAAAUUGAAACACUGAACAACGAGAGUUGUUCGUGAGUCUCUCAAAUUUUCGCAACACGAUGAUGAAUCGAAAGAAACAUCUUCGGGUUGUGAGGUUAAGCGACUAAGCGUACACGGUGGAUGCCCUGGCAGUCAGAGGCGAUGAAGGACGUGCUAAUCUGCGAUAAGCGUCGGUAAGGUGAUAUGAACCGUUAUAACCGGCGAUUUCCGAAUGGGGAAACCCAGUGUGAUUCGUCACACUAUCAUUAACUGAAUCCAUAGGUUAAUGAGGCGAACCGGGGGAACUGAAACAUCUAAGUACCCCGAGGAAAAGAAAUCAACCGAGAUUCCCCCAGUAGCGGCGAGCGAACGGGGAGGAGCCCAGAGCCUGAAUCAGUGUGUGUGUUAGUGGAAGCGUCUGG